CUGGUUCACAUCAUAAUGGUUCUUUUGCCAACAGGAGCUGGUAAUCAGGAUGGCAGUGAGGCAGGCACUUGCUUGCAGAAGAACAGGCCUAGUUUUUUAAGAAGCCACAAAAGUGUCUUUGGAUGAUUAGGAUCUAAGGGGCCAACAGCUUUGCAAUAACAGCAUAAAUAUUGUGGGCUGGAUGGACAGGCACCAAAUGGGGACAUUCCAUCCUGCUGUGUGAUGAGAAAGCUGCCACUUUUGAGGCCUUCCAAAACAAAUCAACACUCCAUAUGCCAGAAGGAAAAGCCCAGGAAAGACCUAUUCCAACUGGAGAUGGAAUACGAAGGGAGAAUGAAACAAAACUGCUCCGCUUAGGGAACUUGGAAAGGAAAUUGAAAAGGCAAGGCACAGGCUGGAAGAAAAUAUUUGAAAAAGAUUUAUGUGAACUUCUUUCUGGAUUAUACAAAAUAUUUUUAGAUAUUCUUACAACUCUAAAAUAAGAUAACUCCUUAAAAAUCUAAAUUCUACCAAAGGAGAGAUAAAGAUGACGAAUACAUUCAAAGAUGCUGAAAAUCACUUAUUUAUUAUUAGGAAGUUACAAGCUAAAGCAUAAUGAGAUACCACUACAACCUACUAAACUGACUAAAAUUAAUCAGACUAACCAGGUGUUGGCAAGAAACAGGGACACUGAGACUCUCACACUGCUGGAAGGAAUGUAAAAUGCUAAAACUUCUUUGGAAAUGAGUUCAGUAACUUUUUAAACAGUUGAAAAUAGACCUAUCAUGCAAACCAGCAAUCCCACUUCCAGGUAUUUAUACAAGGAAAAUGACAACAUAUGCCCACAUAAAGACUUGUGCACAAAUGACCGUAGCAGCUUUGUGAUAAUUGCUAAAAACUAGAAACUUGUCAAGUGUCCAACAGCUAAGGAAAUAGAGACAAACUACAUAAGUUGCUGAAAAAUCACAGCAAAUAAUUAGCUGAGGAAGAGACUCAAAUCUAUCAGAACUGCUUGACUUUUGAUCCUGAGCUUAUGCGCAUCCAGUGGGCAAGUGAGGGUGCAUGGGUUUGUGAAGACUCCAGCAGUAUGAUUGGGGACACAGGGUCUCCCUAUGUUGCCCAGGCUGGUAUCGAACUCUGUUGCCCAGGCUGGUAUUGAACUCCUGCGCUCAAGUGAUCCUCCUGCCUCAGCCUCCCAAAAUGCUGGGAUUACAG
rnacentral:lncRNA from 10 species